rnacentral:rRNA from 1 species
UGCCUCAGUAACGGCGAGUGAAGCGGCAAAAGCUCAAAUUUGAAAUCUAGCACCUUCGGUGUUCGAGUUGUAAUUUGAAGAUGGUAACCUUGGGUUUGGCUCUUGUCUAUGUUCCUUGGAACAGGACGUCAUAAAGGGUGAGAAUCCCGUCUGAUGAGAUGCCCAUUCCUAUGUAAGGUGCUAUCGAAGAGUCGAGUUGUUUGGGAAUGCAGCUCUAAGUGGGUGGUAAAUUCCAUCUAAAGCUAAAUAUUGGCGAGAGACCGAUAGCGAACAAGUACAGUGAUGGAAAGAUGAAAAGAACUUUGAAAAGAGAGUGAAAAAGUACGUGAAAUUGUUGAAAGGGAAGGGCAUUAGAUCAGACUUGGUGUUUUACGAUUAUCUUCUCUUCUUGAGUUGUGCACUCGUAUUUCACUGGGCCAGCAUCAGUUU